rnacentral:tRNA from 1 species
AACAAAUUUUUGUAGGUCUUCUAAAUCUAUUAUGGGUUUUCCCGUUUGUUU